rnacentral:rRNA from 1 species
AUCAAUAAGCGGAGGAAAAGAAACCAACAGGGAUUCCUUUAGUAACGGCGAGCGAAGUGGGAAGAUGCCCAGGUCUGAAAUCUCCUAGCUGGCAAUUGUACAGUUGGGCGAAUUGUGGUCUGGAGAGGCAGACUGUCCCGAUCCACUGCUCCUGAGCCCGAAGUUGACUUGGAACGGCACGCCAAAGAGGGUGAGAGCCCCGUAGGGCCUGGAAAUCGGGAGCAGCGGGACGAGGGUCUGUACUCGUAGAGUCGGGUUGUUUGGGAAUGCAGCCCUAAGUGGGUGGUAGACUCCAUCCAAGGCUAAAUACGGGCGCGAGACCGAUAGCUGACAAGUACCGUGAGGGAAAGGUGAAAAGCACUUUGAAGAGAGAGUUCAAUAGACCGUGAAACCGUUGGGAGGGAAGCUCAGGGUGUCGAGGAUGUCGUGCUCUGUUUGAGUUCAACCUGUGGUGGCUGGGCAACCGGUUGCUGCUGGUGCAUUCUCUUAUGGAGUUGGACCGUCAGUUGGGAAGAGACGGAGAUCUGCCUUGACAGCAGUCGGGAGGUAUGCCCUGUGGUUCCUUAUGGUGCCCAGGGUAACGUACAGCCGUUCUGUUGUGGUCUCUGUCGUCUUUCAGGUGUGUUUGGAUGUCUGUUCGUCCAGAAAUGGAAGGUGCAGUCUCUCCUUGUGGGGGAUCGGGCCUCCUUGCGGUUGUGCUGUGUUGUCUGGAUGUGUACCUUUCUCUCUCCGUCUUGUCUUUGGCAGUCGGGGCAGAAAACGGCACUCCUUACAAAUAUCAGUUCCCGUCAGGGAUGUGUCCUGGAAUCUGUGCCGA